rnacentral:tRNA from 1 species
GGGAACGCAUGUUCCAUAGGGGCGAGUGGCAUUCGCAGUGCCGCUGGGCGGGUGCAAGUCCCGUCGUUUCCACCA